rnacentral:rRNA from 1 species
GGUUUGAUUAUGGCUCAGAACGAACGCUGGCGGCAGGCUUAACACAUGCAAGUCGAACGCCCCGCAAGGGGAGUGGCAGACGGGUGAGUAACGCGUGGGAAUCUACCUAGUUCUACGGAACAACAGUUGGAAACGACUGCUAAUACCGUAUACGCCCUACGGGGGAAAGAUUUAUCGGAAUUAGAUGAGCCCGCGUAAGAUUAGCUAGUUGGUGGGGUAAUGGCCUACCAAGGCGACGAUCUUUAGCUGGUCUGAGAGGAUGAUCAGCCACACUGGGACUGAGACACGGCCCAGACUCCUACGGGAGGCAGCAGUGGGGAAUAUUGGACAAUGGGCGCAAGCCUGAUCCAGCCAUGCCGCGUGAGUGAUGAAGGCCUUAGGGUUGUAAAGCUCUUUCAGUAGGGAAGAUAAUGACGGUACCUACAGAAGAAGCCCCGGCUAACUUCGUGC